rnacentral:rRNA from 1 species
CCCUUAGAUGUUCUGGGCCGCACGCGCGCUACACUGACGAAUGCAACGAGCUUAUAACCUUGGCCGAAAGGUCUGGGUAAUCUCCAAAUUUCGUCGUGAUGGGGAUGGAUUAUUGCAAUUAUUAAUCUUCAACGAGGAAUGCCUAGUAAGCGCAAGUCAUCAGCUUGCGUUGAUUACGUCCCUGCCCUUUGUACACACCGCCCGUCGCUCCUACCGAUUGAAUGGUCCGGUGAAGCGUUCGGACCGUGGCCUUUGGACGGUUCGCCGUCUGUUGGCUGCGGGAAGUUCGUUAAACCUUAUCAUUUAGAGGAAGGAGAAGUCGUAACA